GCAGGAAGAACGCAGCAGUAUCAGCGCACUCCAUCCCGGGGAUCUGAAUGCAUUUGCAGAGAGAACAGGGAAAUAGCAGUUCCAACCAGGUGGACUCUCAAUGUCUUGCAAGCGACACCUAGAAGCAGGUACAGGCAGGAGGUACAGCACCCUGCAACCUCCAGGGGCCUUUGUGCAACACCAGAUGUUCAUGUCCUAGAAGCACGUGGCGGAGCACGUCCUGGGAUCAAGGUGCCAUGGACUGGAAAAUGCAGCUCUGGACAUACAGGCUUGGCGGAGUUCCUGUGUGAAGACAAAACUCCCAGUACUCCAGAAACGUGGAGGCAGAAGAGCAGUGACAAGGUAUCUGUAUGUCUGUCAGUAUAUGUGCACAGCCAGGAGUGCGUGGGCAGACAAAGAAGCGUUGUGC
rnacentral:lncRNA from 1 species